rnacentral:rRNA from 1 species
GACGAACGCUGGCGGCGUGCCUAAUACAUGCAAGUAGGACGCAGUUGCGAACGGGUGAGUAACGCGUAGGUAACUACCUAUUAGAGGGGGAUAACUAUUGGAAACGAUAGCUAAUACCGCAUACUAGUAGAUGGACCUGCUUUGUAUUAGCUAGUAGGUAGGGGAAUGGCAUACCUAGGCAACGAUACAUAGCCGACCUGCGAGGUGGAUCGGCGACACGGGGACUGAGACACGGGCCAGACUCCUACGGGAGGCAGCAGUAGGGAAUCGUCGGCAAUGGGGGGAACCCUGACCGGGCAACGCCGCGGGAGUGAAGAAGGUUUGUGGAUCGUAAAGCUCUGUUGUUAAGGAAGCGGUACUUACCCAGAAAGGGACGGCUAACUACGUGCCAGCAGCCGCGGUAAUAC